CAGUUUCCCCUCAUAGAGUGAAGGAUAGGACCCAAGGAUCCCCUGGGCCUUCAAGCUCUACAUAUAGAAUUUCUGGAGACUGUGAAUGAAGGUGGGACCUGGAGGUCACUAAGGGACUCGAGAAGUCUGUGUCCCCAUCCACAGGGACGCCAAAGACACGCCAUCUCUCUGCCCUCCUCUUUAUGCAUCUUGUGCUUUACCUCCAGCCACAAGACGUCUCUAGUUGUUAAAAAUAAAAACAAGCCAGAGCUGCCAGAUCCAGCUACGACAACUCUUCUGAUGCGAGGGAGGAGGGGGGCUAUUUUUGUUGCAGUCACUAAGCUUGAGUCUAAUCCAGGAAAGUCAAAUAGAGACAUGACUUGGCCCAUCCAAGCUGGUCUGACCCCAGAGAUGUAGGCCAAUCCUUGUUGUGGUGGCAUUGGAUGGUUUCAUGCCAACAUCACAGAGCGAGAGCCAGAACACAGCUUACACGUGCUCAGAAGAUGGGCCAGAUUUAGUGGAGAACAUGAGGUGCACAGCCUGCACAGAGCUGCAGGGCAACCCAGGAAGAAGAGGACUGCUACCACGAUGGGGAGGCAGCCACACCCGUGCCCUGCCGCCGUUGCCCUCCUGAGCCCGGGGACUGGGGACUUUUGGGAAAGGCUCCACAGAGGAGGCAGGAUUUGAAGGUGGGGUGAGGAGCAGACAGUGUCAAGGAGCGCCAAGGCAUGCUUUUGAUCAAGUCACUCUCCUGCUGAGAGCCCUCCUUGGCUCCCUGCUGUCAAGUGGAUAAAGUCCAGACUCCACGGGCUGGCGUGCAAAGGCCUUCUCACGCUGACCCCAGAGUGACCCCUCCACUCUGGCAUCCCUGGGCGGCCUGCCCUGUCCCACCCGCCCUCACACUCCUAGGUGUCAGCCUCCUGGACUGCUCACCGCUCUGCAAAUCUGCCACAUUCUCUCGCUUCCCAGUGGCUUUGCACAUGCCAUUCCCAGUGCCUGAGACACCCUUCUUGCCCCUCAUCGGCUCUCCUUUAUCUCAUCUCCAUGGAAAAUGCCUUCUUGAUCUUUCAGGCCCACCUCCAAGUUCCCUUUCUCACGCGCCUGCCCCAAGCCCUCAGCUGGGAUCCAACAAUUUGUCCUCCAGUUCUGCAGAGCAGCGCUUUAGAUUCUAAACAAACAAGUAAACCAAGCUGUGCUCUACCGGAGACAAAAAUCAUCCCUGUCUGCUAGGAACGUGUUGCCACCUGUGUCACAAUUGCUCUCUCACCUGAUUCUCAUGGUCUGUAGAGGAGAAAGGGACAAGUAACAUUGGCCACAGUCGACGAGCAGGCACCUGAGGCUCAGAAACCUCAGGGUACUUGCCCACAGCCACUCAGUCACUCACCAGCCACGGGCCAUGCCAUGUCGGCUGUAGAUUAUACACUUGUGGGGUAGACUCAGGUCUGACUCUGUGUGUUGCCCACCUUUCUACCACCCCUCCUUCUCUCCUCAGGUGAUCCACUCGCUCCUGGAGGGUGGGGGCCUCCCCCAGGUCACACAGUGUCCCCCAGAGCACCCAGGUGACACCCAUGCUGUUAGUCCACGGCCCACACUUGGAGUAGCAUAGGUUUAAGAUUCUUCAGCAACAGCAUCAACAAAAAAGAUAAAAGCAGGAUGGAACUUGAUAACAACGGAAGCUGGGGAGCAAGUCCCUAGCAGGGUGGAAGCACAGGGAGCCGUCCUUCCUCAGCUGUGCCCUGUGUCCCUGAUGCCCCUGGGCACACCUCCUUACUCAAGGGAAACUCUGCUCUCAAGAAAGAAGCGCACCCGUGGUGAUGGGAACCUGCCGCAUCACGACAGCGUCAAUGACCGUGACCCCGCUGUGAGAUUGUGCGGGGUUUACAAGACGUUACCACUGAGGGAAAUUGUGUAAAGGGCCACGGCAUGGACAUCUGUAUGAUUUCUUAAAACUACAUGUACAUUUAUAAUUACUUCAAAAUAAAAGGUUUAAUUAAAGAUAAUGUGUAAAAGAAAGAAG
rnacentral:lncRNA from 1 species